rnacentral:piRNA from 1 species
UGCCUUUGCUUUGAAAGAUACUUGCUGU